GCAGAGUCAGUAUGCGCUGUGUAAUGCAGUUAUUAUGUACGUUGUUUAUCAUUGUAUCUACACUCAACAUUGGGAAUGGUCAGCAGGGAAAAGGGGACUACGUCAAACAGUCUCUGAUUGCCAGGCCCAGACAGUUGGCAGGAUGAUUGCUGCCAACUCUGUUUUUGAUUCUUUCUGGAUGAAUGGGGAAAGAUUUCAACUACAGCUAUAGCAACUGAAGAUUGUCUACAAACAAAUGCACAAAGUUUAUUUCGAAAAAAAUAUUCAUUUUUUGUAAUUAUAAUCUUAUAAAACUAAUAUGAUUUAUUUUUCAGUUUUCCACCACUUCGGAUGUUGUAAGAAGAAUAUGCUCAAUAAAUGCUAAAUACAGCGUUGACUUUAAAAUGUGCGUGUGUAAUAAGUCUAGAAAUUCCAGAGCGCUUCCUGCAUUGCGCUAAAAAUGUUAUAAAAUGCACCAUUAAAGGGGAGUUCCGUCCAGAAGAACAAUAAAUAAAGAUAUUAAUAAAUAAACCAUGAUAUACUCACUUAAUAUGCUUUAAUAAAAGGAAUAUAUC